GAUGAACGCUAGCGGGAGGCCUAAUACAUGCAAGUCGAACGGUAACAGGGUAGCAAUACCGCUGACGAGUGGCGCACGGGUGAGUAACACGUACACAACCUGCCUUAUACUGGGGCAUAGCCUUGGGAAACUAAGAUUAAUUCCCCAUAACAUUAUGAAGUGGCAUCACUUUAUAAUUAAAAUUACCGAUGGUAUAAGAUGGGUGUGCGUCUGAUUAGCUAGUUGGUGAGGUAAGGCUCACCAAGGCAACGAUCAGUAACUAGGUCUGAGAGGAUGAUCAGUCACACGGGCACUGAGACACGGGCCCGACUCCUACGGGAGGCAGCAGUAGGGAAUAUUGGACAAUGGGCGCAAGCCUGAUCC
rnacentral:rRNA from 1 species